rnacentral:tRNA from 1 species
GCCUUAGUGGUGUAGUGGUCAGCACGCUCGACGCGUAACCGAGAGGUCCGCGGUUCGAUUCUCAGCGAAGGCG